UGUCAUACAAAUACAAAUAUCAUACAAAUAUACAUUUGUGAUACAAACAAACAACACAGCAGCAAAAUAGGGGAGGGAGAAGAAAAAUACAUCAGAAAGACUUCCAUAGUAGAGUGGUAAUAUCAUUUAGAUAAGUCUCAUAAUUAUUUACAAUGUUCAUGGAAUUAUUCUACUACUAAUUGAGCGACACUAUUUUAUACAUCAAUCAUCUCAAUACACUUUAACCAAACAGAAAUCUUAUUGCUUAGUCUUUGUUUACUUAGCAUCAGCUCCAUUCUAAUCUGAAACUCGAGUUGAGUUUUAACUUUCUUCCAGGGGACUUCUAAAUCCCUUUUCCACCAUCUCGCAAUUACUAUUUUAGCCGCUAAAAACAGAUGUAUAAGAAUUGCUUUUAAUUCAUAUGUCAUAUGAGGCCAAUUUAGAUGAAGUAGAACUGCCUCUGGAGAGAUAAUCAACUCGAGUUUUAAAUUAUUAGAUAUAAAGUGCUGCAUUUUCAACCAGAGAUUUUUUAAUUUAUAGCAAUCCCACCAAAUAUGUCUAAAAUUGCCUCUAAUACUAUUGCAUCUCCAACAGAUAGGAUUUACUAGAGGGUAAAUUUUAUUCAAUUUAGCUGGUACUAAGUACCACCUAUUUAAAACUUUAAAGUGCGUUUCUAAUAAAUUUAAUGAAUGUAUAUUCUUCUUAACAUCCAUCAUUGAAGAACCCCAUUGAUUCAGAUUUAUAUCAAUAUUCAAGUCUUGUUUCCAAGCCUGUAUGGCAGUAGGACUUGUGUCUUUAGCUAUUGAUUUAAUUAGUAUUAGAGCUUUGGAAAGUGGUUUAUUAACUUUUUUUGAUGUAAAUAAUAAAUCUAUCGAAUUGCUUAAAUUAGAUUUUGGUAUUAUAAGAUGUGUAUUAAUAUAGCUUUUAAGUCUUAGAAAAUUAAACACCUCUCUAGGAGGGAGAUUAUGUAUCUCUGUUAUUUGAGCAAAGGUUUUAAUUAAUCCUUCUGUCAAUAAUUGGUCCAGAGUCGUUAUCCCUACUUUUUUCCAAUUAUUUAAGUUUAAAUCUUCCACUUGUUUUUCUACAAUAUCUAACUCUAAAUAACUUGGAACUUUUUUUUCUAUAUUCAUUACUUUUUUAAUUUUUAACCAAUUUUCCAAUAAUUGAGUUAGAAUAAUACUGGCAUACUCUUUUUUCUUUGACAUUUUAUUUAUAUUCCAAAUUAAACAAUCUAGGCUAGAAACUUCUCCUGCCUUCAAUUCCAUUUUAUACCAUCCCUCAUCUUUAUUUUCUUUCAUUUGCAUUCUAUAGACAUGUAGGAUAAUAGCUGCUUUAAAAUUAUUCAUUAUGAGUGGAUAAUCAAGUCCACCUUUAUAUAUUUUCUGCACUAAUAUUGACUGUUUCAAUCUCGGCUUCUUGCCUUUCCAGAUGUAUUGAGUAAAACUUCUUUGUAUUAAUUGAAGCCAAUGGAUUGGGAUAUGGAGAGGUAACAUUUGAAACAUAUAAUUCCACUUUGGUAUAACGUAUGAAUUAAUAACAUUUAUUCGCCCCCAAAAAGUAAUCUCUAGGUUUCUGCGAUCUUUUAACCAUUUAUUAAGAUCUAAUAAUAAUGUUAGGAAAUUUACUUCCAUAAUCUUAUUUGUCUCUCUGGUUAUUUUAAUUCCUAAGUAAUCCAUACUUUCUUUAACCCAAAUAAAAUCGUAUUUAUUUUUAAUCUCUCGUUGUAUCCUUUUAUUUAGGUUAACAUCUAAUAUCAAGGAUUUAUUUAUAUUUAACUUAUAAUUUGAUAUGAAGCUGUAUCGCUCUAUUUCUUGCAUUAUACGUUCCAAAGAAUUUUUAGGGUUUGUAAGAGUAAUUAAAAUGUCAUCAGCAUAUAAGCUAAUUUUUUGGUCCUCAUCCAUUAUUUUAUAACCAUGGAUCUCUUUAUUAUUCCUAAUAUUCUCAGCCAAUGGCUCGAUAGUCAACAAGUAGAGCAAUGGUGAGAAGGGACAACCCUGUCGGGUACCAUUUCUAAGUUGGAACCAUGGGGCGACUAUAUUAGGUCCAAUAGUUCGUGCAACAGGAUUUACAUAUAGUGCCAUUAUAGCUUUCUUAAUCCAACCUUCCAAUCCAUAAUGUUGUAGGACGGCUUCUAAAUAUUUCCAGCUGACUCUGUCGAAUGCUUUUUCAGCAUCAAUCGACAGAGUCAGAACUGGAACAUCAUAUCUAUUUGCGUCGUCCAAGAUAUUAAUAAUUUUCCUUAUACUUGUAUAGGAAUUUCUACCUGGAACAUAUCCUAUUUGAUCUUUAUGGAUGAUUAGUGGAAGAAGUUUUUUUAUUCUGGCAGCCAAAACUGACGCGUAUAACUUAGUGUCAACAUCUAUUAAAGAUAUCGGACGAUAGUUUUUGAUAUCAGUGGGGUUUUUAUCGUUUUUUAGAAUAGGCAAGAUAUUAGCUUUUAGCAUCUCUGCUGGUAAAAAUCCUCUGUUUGCCGCUAUGUUGAAAGCAGAGGUCAAAUGUGGGCAUAUUAAAUCUUUAAAUGUUUUAUAAAAUAGGUUGCUAAACCCAUCCGGGCCUGGUGUUUUAGAUCUUUCUAAAUCAUUUAUUGCUUUCAUAGUCUCCUCCAUAGUUAUAGGUUUAUUUAAGAAAUCAUUUUCAAUAGAAGUUAAUUGAGGCUUCUUUAUAUUAUUUAAAUAGUUUUUAAUAUCCUCAUCUGUGUUAAUCUGAGGAAUAUUGUAUAGAUUGGCAUAAUAUUCAUUAAAACACUUUCCAAUCUCUCUUGGGGUUAAUGCUAUUUUUCCAUUCUGUAUUAUUUUGUCUACCUUAUUUUGUACUUUUUGUUUUCUAAGUUUUUGGGAUAGCAUCUUUUCAGCUCGAUUGCCUUUGGAGUAAUAUUUAAGUUUUAAUCUAUCCAUAUUUUUAGCUAUCGUAUCCAUUAAUUUUUGCUUUAUUUUUUCUUUAAG